rnacentral:rRNA from 1 species
CCUACGGGUGGCAGCAGUCGAGAAUCAUUCACAAUGGGGGAAACCCUGAUGGUGCGACGCCGCGUGGGUGAAUGAAGGUCUUCGGAUUGUAAACCCCUGUCAUGUGGGGGCAAAUUAUAAAGAUAGUACCACACGAGGAAGAGCCUACUAACUCUGUGCCAGCAGCCUCGGUAAUACAGAGGUCUCAAGCGUUGUUCGGAAUCACUGGGCGUAAGGCGUGCGUAGGCUGUUUCGUAAGUCGUGUGUGAAAGGCGCGGGCUCAACCCGCGGACGGCACAUGAUACUGCGAGACUAGAGUAAGGGAGGGGGAACCGGAAUUCCCGGUGUAGCAGUGAAAUGCGUAGAUAUGGAGAGGAACACUCGUGGCGAAGGCGGGUUCCUGGACAUGAACUGACGCUGAGGUACGAAGGCCAGGGGAGCGAAAGGGAUUAGAUACCCCAGUAGUC